rnacentral:rRNA from 1 species
GGAAGAACGUGCCCUCCCCUCUUUUCUUGCCUUUGGUUGGGGCGACCACGGAGAAAAUCUUAACCUCCACGUGGAUUGGGACUACUAGUCCUAAAGCUUAGGCCUACCGGCCCCGGAGACAGAAAUUCUGACCUGCACUGAUCCGGCACCCGAUUAACGGACUUAGUUACCCUAGGGAUAACAGCGCAAUCCCCUCCAAGAGCUCCUAUCGACGAGGGGGUUUACGACCUCGAUGUUGGAUCAGGAUGUCCUAAUGGUGCAGCCGCUAUUUAGGGUUCGUUUGUUCAACGAUUAAAAUCCUACGUGAUCUGA